GGUAUUAUAGUUUAGUGGUUAGAAUUCUAAUAAUUUAAGAUUAAAGACCUGGGUUUAAUUCUUAGUGGUACCC